GAUGAACGCUGGCGGCGUGCUUAACACAUGCAAGUCGAACGGAAAGGCUCCUGCUUGCAGGGGUACUCGAGUGGCGAACGGGUGAGUAACACGUGGGUGAUCUGCCCUGCACUUCGGGAUAAGCCUGGGAAACUGGGUCUAAUACCGGAUAGGACGAUGGUUUGGAUGCCAUUGUGGAAAGUUUUUCGGUGUGGGAUGAGCUCGCGGCCUAUCAGCUUGUUGGUGGGGUAAUGGCCUACCAAGGCGUCGACGGGUAGCCGGCCUGGGAGGGUGUACGGCCCCAUUGGGCCAGGGGAGCCGCCCGUGCGCCACAGUGCGCAAGGGGGGGAGAAUUUUUCAAAAUGGGCGCAGGCCUGGUGCAGGGCCCCCGGGUGGGGGAGUACUGCCUGCGGGUUGGAACCCCCUUUCGUUAGGACCGUAGCGCAAGUACCUGUCCCGGAGAAAAAACCCCCGGCAACCCCCUU
rnacentral:rRNA from 1 species